UGUGCUCAUAGCACAUUAUCCCCACAUUGCCACCCACCAUUUCUGCCCUUCUGGAGGCACAACACCUGCAUGGAAAGACCCAUUCUUAUGAUGCAGCUAGAAGGAAGCAGUCACAACAUGGAAGCAUGAAGGGAAAGAAAAAAGGAAGUUUUCCACAAUGCAAAUCCAGAUCUACAGGCAGCUGUAGACAAUGAACACACAAGAUUUGUUAUUAACUAAAGCCUUACCGACGAAGCAAUACUGAAACCCCAUGUAGAAAGUACAGUUUCAAAUGCAGUGAAGUGCACACACUCGGAGGGGAAAAGAGCCCAACCCUGUCCACGAUCAGAUCCAAACCGUCUCUAGUCUUUGAAACAUCCUGCCUGAGCAUGCCUAGGAGGGUACGUGCUCAAGAGAAGGAAAAGCUUGAAAGUCAAAGAAGAAAUCAGUCACUGGUGAAGUAUGAAAGCUCACUAACUACCCUACUUUAAGCAGAGAAGUACCCACAUUAUCUUUUUACAGAGAGCCAAGACCAAAAGAAAUUUGAAAGGAAAAUCUGCCUUAACUCCCAACAUUCCAGACGUUAUUAAGACCAGACACAUAAUUGCAAACACAGGAAGUCACUUUUGCUCUGCACAGGAGGAUGCAGCAAUGCCUCAACAGAGCCCACACCUACAGCAAGAACAGAUUCCAAGGCCCAACAAAUGUUCAUAAUUCCAGACUUUCAGAAGCAAAAAUACCAUCACAAACCUUAGCAUAAUAAUUCUUCUAAUGAUGAAUAAUUACUAUGAAUAAACUUUCAGGCUAAUUUUGGCUAAGUAGAUACUACUGUCUGAUUCUGGUUUCUGAGCAGUGAUUGCAAUAUACAGGAAGAAAAAUAUGUCAGGGAAGAUCACCUGGGAAAUAAUUAGAAUAUAAAAACCUGCCAAUCAGGACAACUGGGCUCAGAAGGUAAUUUGUCAUCUUUGAAGGAGAAAAGCACAAGAAUAAAGUCCUCAUGAUGACAUUCAGUGCCAUAAACAGAAACCAUGACUAUAUGUGUUGGAAUGUGAUCUAAAGAGUAACUGAAUCUUUGGACUGUUAAUAAUUCCAAAGGUCAAAUGCCACAAAGCCAGUUCCCCUGCAUAAAUCAACAGCAUUCCAAUUCUUUCUGCUCAGGGUGUAUAUGCAUGUGAAUGUAAGAUGGUGAUGGGGUGGAGGAUACCGUAUACUGCUGGAGAUCUAUAUAAGAUGGUCUGAAAAAAGAAAAUCUGCUCUUGGAUAACUUUACCUUCUGAAGACAGAUGACAGCUUCAGCUGAAAAUGAAGGUGCUUCAAUCAGAAUUCUGGACCCUGACUUGAUGUAUCCCACUGAGAAACCUCCUAACAGCAAUUGCUUUGGUUUUUAACCAAGAAUAAAAUGGAAAGAAUGAAACUUCCUUCUCAAUAA